GAUGAACGCUGGCGGCGUGCCUAAUACAUGCAAGUCGAGCGAACGGACGAGAAGCUUGCUUUUCUGAUGUUAGCGGCGGACGGGUGAGUAACACGUGGAUUACCUACCUAUAAGACUGGGAUAACUUCGGGAAACCGGAGCUAAUACCGGAUAAUAUUUUGAACCGCAUGGUUCAAAAGUGAAAGACGGUCUUGCUGUCACUUAUAGAUGGAUCCGCGCUGCAUUAGCUAGUUGGUAAGGUAACGGCUUACCAAGGCAACGAUGCAUAGCCGACCUGAGAGGGUGAUCGGCCACACUGGAACUGAGACACGGUCCAGACUCCUACGGGAGGCAGCAGUAGGGAAUCUUCCGCAAUGGGCGAAAGCCUGACGGAGCAACGCCGCGUGAGUGAUGAAGGUCUUCGGAUCGUAAAACUCUGUUAUUAGGGAAGAACAUAUGUGUAAGUAACUGUGCACAUCUUGACGGUACCUAAUCAGAAAGCCACGGCUAACUACGUG
rnacentral:rRNA from 1 species